rnacentral:rRNA from 1 species
AUGAGAGUGCACGUGCAAGCGGUGGCUUGCUCCUGUUUUGGCGUAACCCGAUUACCAUCCAGGGACAAGAGCAAAAAUUUCAUUGAUGUGCUAGUGGGCAGCUCAUCGGAGGAGACGUGGAGAUUUACGGGCUUCUAUGGGGAGCCAAAGUGGAAAGAUAAGCACCUGUCUUGUGGCUUUCUUCGUACUCUCUAUCUGCAUAUCCGUGUACUGUGGCUAGUUGCAGGUGAUUUUAAUGAGAUACUAUAUUCUCAUGAAAAGGAGGGAGGGGCGCCACGUCCGAUGAGUAUGAUGGAGAGAUUCAGAUAUGCUCUAGUAGAAUGUGAGUUGGAAGAUAUGGGGUUCUCAAGAGAUCAAUGCACUUGGCGAAGGAGGAGGUUGUGGGAACAUCUCGAUAGGAUUGUGUGUAAUGGGCAAUUUCAUGGUUUCUUUCCGCAUGCUAAGGUGAUCAACGCAGCGCACACAAAAUUUGACCAUGGACCGAUCUUCAUGGACACAAAGGGCGAUGUGUAG